rnacentral:tRNA from 1 species
GGGGAUGUAACUCAAAGGUAGAGUGUGUGUUUUGCAUGUACAAAGUUGUUGGUUCGAGUCCGACCGUCUCCA